ensembl:lncRNA
AUGUUCAUGUUUGGAAAAACAAACGAUGCAUAUAAAAUACAAAAAGAUGCAUAUAAAAUAACAAACGAUGCAAACAUAAUACCAAACGAUGCAUAUACAAUGCCAAAUAAUACAUACGCAAUUCCAAACGAUUUGAUACAUUAUGUCGUAGCAGAAGGGCCGGGAUUAAUAGGAGGUGAAAUUAACACAUGGCUUUCGUUUUUUGUAUAUACUAAAAAUUUAAAAAAAAAAGAUUUAUAUUACGGGAGUAGUGUAAAAAUAAGAUUACAAGUAGAGCCAGUUGGUUACUUGAAGUCGGUAUACACGUUAAGUCCUUACAGUGCUGAACUUGAAUGUUAUAAUGAUAAUAAUAUAAAAAAGGGAAAGGAAUAUAUAACUACACAAAAUACAUUAUCAACAGAUUCAAACAAUUUAAUUUGUACUAAAUUAAAUGAUAUAGAAGAAAACAUUAAUUACAAAGUUAAGAAUUUAAAAAACGGAUCAUACCAAAUAUCAUAUAAACUUAACAAAGCUGGUAAAAAACGAUUAUACAUAUUUUAUGAUGGUAUUAAUAUUAUUGGUUCUCCAUACGACAUUAUUAUUAAUCAUAGUACAGCAGAUCCUAAGUUUUGUAAAUUAUAUGGAAAAGGUGUAACUAAAUGUUUAGGUACUCCAUUUUUAACAUUCAAAACGAUUGAAUAUAACGAUAUACAGUUAGUUAAAAAAACAGAUGAAUAUAACAAUGAUCAAACAAUUUAUCAGUUCAAUAAUAACAGUAAUGAUACAUCACAACUCGACUUUAACAACAAUACAAAUGCAAAAUUUCAAACAAAUGUAAAUAACCAUAACAAAAUGGAUAGUUACAGUAACAAAAACGAAAUAAAUCAAACAGAUAAUAUCGAAAAAAAUAGUAUAAAAGAAAAACAAGUUCAAUUUUACAAUGUAACAACAGAAAACAAAAAAAAUAAUGAAGAAGAACCUUUUCACAUUAUCAGUGCCUCAAUCGAAGAUGUAACAAAAACUGGAUACGGAUAUGGUAAUGACAUAAACGGGGUAAACGAAGUAAGCAGGGUAAACAAACCGACUGUUAGCGAUAUAAAUCUAAUGAAAAAUAAAUCCUUCGCAGAAAUAGACAAAACACAUAACGAAAAGUAUAAAAACUUUUUGAAAAGUGUAGAGCUUAUAAAUUCAUUUAUUUUAGUUUUAUAUGAUAAAUAUGGAGAAAGAAUAAAAAUAGGAAAUGAUUUGGUUAAAGUAGUUGGUAAAAAAGGCGCAUAUAUAAAAAAUGUAAUUGACAAUAACAACGGUAGUUAUAAAAUAGAAUACAUAUAUUAUUAUAAAAAAGAAAAAAAUAAAAAAAAAAUAAAUCAUGCUAACAAACAAGAGAUAAUAAAUUUUUAUAAAAAUUAUAUUUGCCAAACAAGUAAUUUUAAUCAUAAUAUAAUUAUUGAUCAAUUUGAAAAACAAUUCCCAAAUAUAUAUACACAUUGUGAAAUAUCUAUUUAUAUUAACGAAAUCGAAAUUUCUUUUUCGCCAAUUAAACCAAUCAUAUUAAAUAUUCAUAACAUCAUUGAUUUCUAUAAUAUAUAUGACCAGUAUACAUAUUCUGGUUUAUUAUUGAAAAAUUUUGAAUUAUUAUUAAACACAAAUAACUAUAAAGAAUGUAUGGAUAGAUUAGUUUUAUUUUAUAAUAAUUUUAUCGACCAAAUGGAUAUAAAUACUAGUAAAAUCGAAGAGACAAACAUGGAACGGUUACAACAUUUAAGUGAUUCAUACAAGGACAUAAAAAAGGAAGACUUUUUUUUUCGUAUACCACUAAAUAUAUUUGAUUUGAAAAAAGGUGCUAUAAUUAAAAGUAUGUUACAGUUGGAUUCGGUUAAAAGUGGGAAAACACUUGGUAAGAAUAGCGGUAUGUUCGGUAAGAAUAGCGGUUUGUUCGGUAAGAAUAGCGGUUUGUUCGGUGCGAGUAGCGGUUUGUUCGAUGAUAAUAGCAGCAUGUACGGUGGAAAUAGCGGUUUGUUCGGUGCGAGUAGCGGUUUGUUCGAUGAUAAUAGCAGCAUGUACGGUGGAAAUAGCGGUUUGGUCUGCGUUAACAACGUACCAACAACCCAUUUAUUCCAAUUCCAAGAACACACAAAUGAAAAAGAUGCACUAUUUAUUAAUGAGUGGUUAUACAUGUACUCACAUAAAAAUAAAAUUACCAAUUUAGACAAUAAAUAUGAAUUGAGUACCAGUUUGGCAUAUUCACUAAGCAACAUUAUUUUACAACACCUUUUAUAUAUAAAGAAAUAUACUUAUUUUAUAAAUUCAACAGAAUACGAAAAUGAGUUAUUACAACAUAAUAUUAUCGAUAAAUUAAAAAAAAUUUUAGAAGAUGAAUAUAAUAAAAUGUUUACUUAUCAAACUAGAGCUAUUAUAAACUAUUGUUCCAAAAUUGGAAAAGCACAAUUUGAAAGUUUUGAAGCAUUAUUAAAUGUAUAUAAAAACAUAUCAUUUGAAUUGAAAAAAUUAAGAUUAAAUGAUUUGGCUUAUGCGUUUGAUAAAUGCUGUGAAAAUAUGUGUGAAGAACUGUAUCUAAAAAAUAUCGAAUCUAGUUUAAAUAAAAAAGAAAAACUUUUAAAUAAAUACGAAUCGAUAAUAAACGAAAAAGUAGAAAAAAUAAAUGAACUGAAACAAGAAAUAAAAAAAUAUGAUCAAACGGAUAAAAAUGUUGAUAUCGAUAAAAUAGGGGAAUUGUUUUCUGUUAAAAUAAACAAAAGUGUGCAAACAGGUGAUUAUCUUUCUUAUAGAAAUGGUUUUUUAUCUUCAUUGCUUCAGUCGAGAGAAGUCGCAAAUGGUGGUGCGAGUAAAGACAUAAGUAGUGAUGUGAGUAAAGACGCAAAUAUAGAUGUGAAUAAAGACGCAAAUACAGAUGUGAAUAAAGACGCAAAUACAGAUGUGAAUAAAGACGCAAAUACAGAUGUGAAUAAAAACAAACCUAUAGAAAACAAUCAAAAUAAAGACAUACAAGAAAAAAUAAACAAAUUAGUUAAAACAUACUGGAGAAACGCAUCUCCACGUGAUAUAUAUUUUACUAUGCAAAAUAUACUGAAAAAUAGCCCAAGGUUAAAAGUAACAUUAGAUGAAGUUUUCAACUAUUAUAGUUGUAGUUAUGAUAAUAAUAAUAAUAAUAAUAAAAAAAAUAUAACUGAUAUAUACAUGAAAAGAUUUGAACAACUGAGUGAAGCAAAAAAUUUGAAUAAAUUAAAAAAAAAUGAAUCAAUAGAAGGUCAACUAUUAUUAAUUCAUAGUAAUAACAACAAUAAUAAUAGAGAACAACUGAAUAAUGCUUGUUUAACUUAUAAUGCUUAUAUUUCAUUCAUUGUAGAUAUAAAUUGUAAUCAUUAUUUUAUAAAAAAUAUAGAGGAUGUGUUAUGGUUGUUUGAAAAGUUUUCAAUAGAGCCUUUAUCAAAUAAAAAGUUAUACAAUCCUUAUGGGUAUUUACGAGUUUUACCAAAAUACUUAUACAUACCAUUUAUACGAGAACUAGCAUAUAUUAAUUUAUUGUAUAUUAUAGCAGAAUUUAUUGUUCAAAAAAAACAAGAUGCCAAAUUAUAUUUAGAUAUUAAUCAUCCUUCUAGAUUAUCUGCUUUUUAUUAUUUUGUCAAAAACCAUUUUAUUGAUUUUUAUGAAAAAUUAAAUCAACUACAAAACUUUCAAAAUUAUAAACAAAAAUUAAUCGAUAAAAAUGUAAAAGAUCUUAAAAUACAAACAACUGUAGAUAUAGAAAACACUAUACAUAGUAUCAGUUAUAAAAACUUAGAUUAUUAUUUUACUAACGAAUUACCACUUGUUGUUAAACAUAAGAAUUUCGUUCAUACAUUUCCUUUAUUGUUUGAUUAUUACUCAGGAUUUUGUAAAACUAUUUCAGGAAAAGUACAUACUACUACACUAAAAAAUGUUAAUGGAAAUAAAAUAAAUGACAAACUUAAUGACAAACGGAAUGACGAAAACACAAAUGAUUCAUUAGAUACGAACAAUAUUAACGAUAAACAUAUUUCUACCACAAUUUUUAUACGUUUUUUGAGAGAAUUUGGUAUUAUUCCUCAUUUUUUUGAUACAAAAAUCGCAAUACAUAUUUUAAAUUCAUUUAUGCAAAAUACAAAAUCAUUAAAUUAUAAAAAUUUUACACAUGCUGUCAUUUUAUCUAUCUGUGAAUGUGUUAAAAAAAAUAUAUUAACACAAUUAAAUUUGUUAAAAAUGAAUAAAAAAAUAAAUUUUAAAUUACAAGCAGAUAAAAUACUUAAUUAUGAUUAUAUUGCUUAUGAAGCGAAGGAGUUGAUUUACUUGUUUGGCUUAGCAGAUAUGCAAAUAGUUAAGUCGAAGAUAAACGCUUGA